rnacentral:rRNA from 1 species
CCUACGGGCGGCAGCAGUGGGGAAUAUUGGACAAUGGGCGAAAGCCUGAUCCAGCCAUGCCGCGUGUGUGAAGAAGGCCUUCGGGUUGUAAAGCACUUUCAGUGGGGAAGAAAGCCUUGGGGCUAAUACCCUCGAGGAAGGACAUCACCCACAGAAGAAGCACCGGCUAACUCCGUGCCAGCAGCCGCGGUAAUACGGAGGGUGCGAGCGUUAAUCGGAAUUACUGGGCGUAAAGCGCGCGUAGGCGGUCUGAUAAGCCGGUUGUGAAAGCCCCGGGCUCAACCUGGGAACGGCAUCCGGAACUGUCAGGCUAGAGUGCAGGUGAGGAAGGUAGAAUUCGCGGUGUAGCGGUGAAAUGCGUAGAGAUCGGGAGGAAUACCAGUGGCGAAGGCAGCCUUCUAGGCUGACACUGACGCUGAGGUGCGAAAGCGUGGGUAGCAAACAGGAUUAGAUACCCCAGUAGUC